CUGGGCGUAAGCGUGCGUAGGCGGCUUUUUAAGUCGGAUGUGAAAUCCCCGAGCUUAACUUGGGAAUUGCAUUCGAUACUGGGAAGCUAGAGUAUGGGAGAGGAUGGUAGAAUUCCAGGUGUAGCGGUGAAAUGCGUAGAGAUCUGGAGGAAUACCGAUGGCGAAGGCAGCCAUCUGGCCUAAUACUGACGCUGAGGUACGAAAGCAUGGGGAGCAAACAGGAUUAGAUACCCUGGUAGUCCAUGCCGUAAACGAUGUCUACUAGCCGUUGGGGCCUUUGAGGCUUUAGAGGCGCAGCUAACGCGAUAAGUAGACCGCCUGGGGAGUACGGUCGCAAGACUAAAACUCAAAUGAAUUGACGGGGGCCCGCACAAGCGGUGGAGCAUGUGGUUUAAUUCGAUGCAACGCGAAGAACCUUACCUGGUCUUGACAUAGUAAGAACUUUCCAGAGAUGGAUUGGUGCCUUCGGGAACUUACAUACAGGUGCUGCAUGGCUGUCGUCAGCUCGUGUCGUGAGAUGUUGGGUUAAGUCCCGCAACGAGCGCAACCCUUUUCCUUAUUUGCCAGCACUUCGGGUGGGAACUUUAAGGAUACUGCCAGUGACAAACUGGAGGAAGGCGGGGACGACGUCAAGUCAUCAUGGCCCUUACGACCAGGGCUAC
rnacentral:rRNA from 1 species